rnacentral:rRNA from 1 species
UACGGGGGGGGCAAGCGUUGUUCGGAAUUAUUGGGCGUAAAGAGCUCGUAGGUGGCUUGUCACGUCGGGUGUGAAAGCUUGGGGCUUAACUCCAGGUCUGCAUUCGAUACGGGCUGGCUAGAGGUAGGUAGGGGAGAACGGAAUUCCUGGUGUAGCGGUGAAAUGCGCAGAUAUCAGGAGGAACACCGGUGGCGAAGGCGGUUCUCUGGGCCUUACCUGACGCUGAGGAGCGAAAGCGUGGGGAGCGAACAGG